rnacentral:rRNA from 1 species
GGAUGCGAUCAUACCAGCACUAAAGCACCGGAUCCCAUCAGAACUCCGAAGUUAAGCGUGCUUGGGCGAGAGUAGUACUUGGAUGGGUGACCUCUUGGGAAGUCCUCGUGUUGCAUUCC